UGGGGAAUUUUGGACAAUGGGCGAAAGCCUGAUCCAGCCAUGCCGCGUGAGUGAAGAAGGCCUUCGGGUUGUAAAGCUCUUUUAGUCGGAAAGAAAGAGUUGCAAUGAAUAAUUGUGAUUUAUGACGGUACCGACAGAAAGAGCACCGGCUAACUACGUGCCAGCAGCCGCGGUAAUACGUAGGGUGCGAGCGUUAAUCGGAAUUACUGGGCGUAAAGGGUGCGCAGGCGGUCUUGCAAGUCAGAUGUGAAAGCCCCGGGCUUAACCUGGGAAUUGCGUUUGAAACUACAAGGCUAGAGUGCAGCAGAGGGGAGUGGAAUUCCAUGUGUAGCAGUGAAAUGCGUAGAGAUGUGGAAGAACACCGAUGGCGAAGGCAGCUCCCUGGGUUGACACUGACGCUCAUGCACGAAAGCGUGGGGAGCAAACA
rnacentral:rRNA from 1 species